GGCCCCGUCGUCUAAUGGUUAGGACGCCACGCUUUCAAUGUGGCAAUAGGGGUUCGAUUCCCCUCGGGGCUG
rfam:Candidatus Portnoybacteria bacterium RIFCSPHIGHO2_01_FTLL_40_12b rifcsphigho2_01_scaffold_2252, whole genome shotgun sequence.